AACGCGUAGGUAAUCUAUCCUUACAUUUGGGAUAACAUCGGGAAACUGGUGCUAAUACCGAAUGGUCUUCAUUGCUUUGGGGCGACGGAGUAAAGGUGGCCUCGUUCAUGAAAGCUACCGUGUAGGGAUGAGCCUGCGUACCAUUAGCUAGUAGGUGGGGUAAUGGCCCACCUAGGCUACGAUGGUUAGCGGGUCUGAGAGGAUGAUCCGCCACACUGGAACUGAAACACGGACCAG
rnacentral:rRNA from 1 species